GGCGGCAAGUGCAAGAUUAAUUGGGAGCAUGUCUGCAAGCCAAAGGAAUAUGGGGGCCUUGGCAUUUUGCACCUUCGCAAGUUUGCUACCGCCCUCCGGCUGAGGUGGCUAUGGCUUGAGUGGAAUGACCCACCUCGUGUGUGGUGAGGAUUGGGGAUGCCCUGCACGACAUCUGACCGUGACCUUUUCGCGGUCUUGACUGAGGUCAAGGUCGGCGAUGGACAAAAGGCUUCCUUUUGGGAAUCUUCUUGGCUUCAGGGCGUUAGGCCCAAAGAUAUUGCGCCAAAGAUUUUCGAUAUUUCACGCAAGAAAGGUGUUACGGUCUCCACGGCCUUAAGGGAUAGGAACUGGAUAGCACAAAUCAACAUUGACGCUGGCCUCACUCUAGAACACCUUCAACAAUUCUUGGCCCUUUGGGAGAAGCUAGCGACUGUGGCCAUUCAGCCGGGUGUCCAGGACUCUAUACUGUGA
rnacentral:rRNA from 1 species